rnacentral:rRNA from 1 species
AGAGUUUGAUUCUGGCUCAGGACGAACGUUGGCGGCGCGCUUAAUGCAUGCAAGUCGAGGGAGAACCAGUCGAUCCGUAAGGUUCGGCUGGGGAAACCGGCGAACGGGUGCGUAACACGUGAGGAACCUGCCCCGAAGACCGGGAUAGCCCGGGGAAACCCGGAUUAAUACCGGAUACCCUCUUUGGACCACAUGGUCCGUUGAGGAAAUGGUCUGCCGCUUCGGGAUGGCCUCGCGGCCUAUCAGCUUGUUGGUGAGGUAAUGGCUCACCAAGGCAGAGACGGGUAGCUGGUCUGAGAGGACGAUCAGCCACACUGGGACUGAGACACGGCCCAGACUCCUACGGGAGGCAGCAGCAGGGAAUAUUGCACAAUGGGCGAAAGCCUGAUGCAGCGACACCGCGUGCGGGAUGAAGGCCUUCGGGUUGUAAACCGCUUUCAGGAGGGACGAAAAUGACGGUACCUCCAGAAGAAGGCCCGGCCAACUACGUGCCAGCAGCCGCGGUAAUACGUAGGGGCCAAACGUUGUCCGGAUUUAUUGGGCGUAAAGGGCUCGUAGGCGGUUCAACAAGUCGGUCGUGAAAACCCGGGGCUCAACCCCGGGACGCCGGUCGAAACUGUUGUGACUAGGGUCCGGUAGAGGUGAGUGGAAUUCUCGGUGUAGCGGUGGAAUGCGCAGAUAUCGAGAGGAACACCAGUAGCGAAGGCGGCUCACUGGGCCGGUACCGACGCUGAGGAGCGAAAGCAUGGGGAGCAAACAGGAUUAGAUACCCUGGUAGUCCAUGCCGUAAACGAUGAACACUAGGUGUGGCGGAUUCAUUGACAUCUGCCGUGCCGUAGCUAACGCAUUAAGUGUUCCGCCUGGGGAGUACGGCCGCAA